UACAGAGGGUGCGAGCGUUAAUCGGAAUUACUGGGCGUAAAGGGCGCGUAGGCGGUUUAAUGGGUGUGAUGUGAAAGCCCCGGGCUUAACCCGGGAAGUGCAUCGCAAACUAUUAGACUGGAGUACAGGAGAGGAUGGCGGAAUUUCCGGUGUAGCGGUGAAAUGCGUAGAGAUCGGAAGGAACGUCGAUGGCGAAGGCAGCCAUCUGGCCUGAUACUGACGCUGAGGCGCGAAAGCGUGGGUAGCGAACAGG
rnacentral:misc_RNA from 1 species